rnacentral:tRNA from 1 species
CCCCGCAUAGCUCAACCUGGCAGAGCACUCGGCUGUAGCCCGAGGGAUUCCCGGUUCAAAUCCGGGUGCGGGGA